rnacentral:rRNA from 1 species
GACGAACGCUGGCGGCGUGCUUAAUACAUGCAAGUCGAACGGAAAGGCCCUGCUCUUGUUGGGUGCUCGAGUGGCGAACGGGUGAGUAACACGCGAGUAACCUGCCCUUGACUUUCGGAUAACUUCUGGAAACUGGGGCUAAUAUCGGAUAUGAGCUCCUGCUCCACGGUGGGGGUUGGAAAGAUUCGGCGGUUGGGGAUGUACUCGCGGCUCAUCAGCUUGUUGGUGAGGUAGUGGCUUACCAAGGCUUUGACGGGUAGCCGGCCUGAGAGGGUGAACGGCCACAUUGGGCCUGAGGUAGGGCCCAGACUCCUACGGGAGGCAGCAGUGGAGUGUAUUGCGCAAUAGCGGGGAGCCUGAUGCAGCAGCGCUGGGAGCGGGAUGACCGCCUACGGGUUGAAAACCACUUUCGCCUGUGCCGAAGCGUGAGUGACGGUAAUGAAUAAAGAAGCAACGGCUAACUACGUG